CUGAUGGCGACCGGCGUACGGGUGAGUAACGCGUAUCCAACCUGCCCUUUACUACGGGACAGCCCGUCGAAAGGCGGAUUAAUACCGUAUGUUGUCAUGUUGAUGCAUAUUUUCAUGACCAAAGGCUUCGGCCGGUAAAGGAUGGGGAUGCGUCUGAUUAGCUUGCCGGCGGGGUAACGGCCCACCGGGGCGACGAUCAGUAGGGGUUCUGAGAGGAAGGUCCCCCACAUUGGAACUGAGACACGGUCCAAACUCCUACGGAAGGCAGCAG
rnacentral:rRNA from 1 species